ACACAAGAUCGUUGUAUCACUGGAUUGUAGAUUGUCUGACAGUAACAUCCAUCAGAGGCCCUUGGAUUCAUAAGCUGUUUUAUUGAUUGAAACCCAGUCAUAACAAAUCUUCUUAUCCUGGCCAGUUCUUCAUAACAACAGGCAAUUCAAGACCCCUGUGUUUAUUUGCAGCCAUGGCGAAGGUCUUGCUACCUUUGCGAAAGAACGGCAUCUGUUGUUGUCUGACUCGAAACACAAGUGAGGUAUCAUGUGGGCCCUGUCCAUUGGAAUUGCUUUCUAUUCGCUUCGUUGAGAAAAACGAAAGAAGACCAUACGGAACAUUAAAUGAGAGAUACGCCACGACAGCCCCGGCGAUAAAUACCACAAACAGAAGAGAUGGUAAAUACAUUUUGUCAGGACAGUACUUUCUUUUCCAAAAGUCAUACAGGGUGGUAACUUGACAGAUGUUCGAUGAGAAUUUCGUACAUUUUCCCAUGUUUUUCUGACGUUUCUAAACAGGAAGUUUACAAUGUAAGACCGGAUGCUGAUUUGUUGGACGUAGAUUGGAUGAUUUUCACCCAGAGUUCCUAAUUAAAAUGGAUGCGCCCAUGGUUGCAGGUGUUUGAGGUGUUUUCCAACACGUUUUAACGUUAAUUUGUCAAUAAGAUGGCAUUAUUUGCAAUAACAAGGUAUUUGGGUGAUGAAAAUACAGAAGAACAAUCAAACAAAGCAGGUGCCAUUUUGAAGAAACUUCAAGCAGAUGCUGAGGCAAGGAGAAAACGAAGAGGUAUUGGAACUCGGAAAUUACCCCAGGAUACUUCUAAGAAGAAGCUGUCAUCAGAAAAAGAUCAAGUUAAAAAUGACUUAAAACCAAAAUCUGGCGAGAAGAUAAAAAUUGGGAAAAAGUCUAAGCUGAAAGAGUGUGAUGAAACCGGUUAUGCUGACAGUGACAAUGAAGUUAUUCC
rnacentral:misc_RNA from 1 species